ensembl:lncRNA
AUGCAUUUAUUGUAUGUAUUUAUGUUUAUAUAUAUGUCAUAUGAAUGUACAUUAAAAACAAUGAUAUUCUUUACAUUUUAUAAUUAUUUUUUUUCCGUUUUUUAUCCAUUGUUUAUAAACAGUACACACGAAAAAAAAAAAGAAAAAGUAAAACAGAAAAGUGAAGGCAGCAACUACACAGGGCAAAUAAAUGUAGGGGAUAAUUAUCAAGUGUCAAAUAUAACUACUUUCUUUUUAAAUAGUAAUUCAGAGAUAUAUGAAGAAGCUAACAGAUCAGAGUUAGUUUAUUCACCUUACCUACUAGAACGAAUGAAAGAAAGUUAUCUAAGUGAAGGGCAGUAUGAAUUAGUUAUUAAAAAUGAUUACGAGUUAGCUGUUUUUAUUAAGGAGCUAGCUGAAAAUUGGAAAUGUCAACUGGGAUGGCAUCCAUUUACUCCUGAAUAUGCUUUUAAGAUUUUACAUCGAGUGGAUUAUAACCCUAAGAGGGCUAUUGAACUACUGAAUAGUUCUGAUUUUAAUUUUUUGGAAGUCUGUGACCCUCCAAUACGAAAAUACGAGAACAAGUGGAGACCUCGAGAUAAGAGAGGUCAGAUAUCAGGUAAAAUUUACAACAAAUAUGUAAAAAAAUAAAUAAAUAAAUAAAAUAAAACACAUAUAUAAAUACA